rnacentral:rRNA from 1 species
UGGGGAAUUGUUCGCAAUGGGCGCAAGCCUGACGACGCAACGCCGCGUGGAGGAUGAAGGUCUUCGGAUUGUAAACUCCUGUUGAUCGGGACGAACGGCUUCGACCUAAUACGUCGAAGAAUGACGGUACCGGUUGAGGAAGCCACGGCUAACUCUGUGCCAGCAGCCGCGGUAAUACAGAGGUGGCAAGCGUUGUUCGGAAUUACUGGGCGUAAAGGGCGCGUAGGGCGGGCCUACUAAGUCGGACGUGAAAGCCCCAGGCUUAACCUGGGAACUGCGUCCGAUACUGGUCGGCUUGGAUUCGGGAGAGGGAUGUGGAAUUCCAGGUGUAGCGGUGAAAUGCGUAGAUAUCUGGAGGAACACCGGUGGCGAAGGCGGCAUCCUGGACCGAGAUCGACGCUGAGGCGCGAAAGCUAGGGGAGCAAACGGGAUUAGAUACCCCGGUAGUCCUAGCCCUAAACGAUGAGUGCUUGGUGUGGCGGGUAUCGAUCCCUGCCGUGCCGAAGCUAACGCAUUAAGCACUCC